rnacentral:rRNA from 1 species
GAGUUUGAUCAUGGCUCAGAUUGAACGCUGGCGGCAUGCCUUACACAUGCAAGUCGAACGGCAGCACGGGAGCUUGCUCCUGGUGGCGAGUGGCGAACGGGUGAGUAAUGCAUCGGAACGUAUCCUGGAGUGGGGGAUAACGUAGCGAAAGUUACGCUAAUACCGCAUAUUCUGUGAGCAGGAAAGCGGGGGACCCUCGGGCCUCGCGCUCUUGGAGCGGCCGAUGUCGGAUUAGCUAGUUGGUGAGGUAAAGGCUCACCAAGGCGACGAUCCGUAGCAGGUCUGAGAGGAUGAUCUGCCACACUGGAACUGAGACACGGUCCAGACUCCUACGGGAGGCAGCAGUGGGGAAUUUUGGACAAUGGGGGCAACCCUGAUCCAGCCAUGCCGCGUGAGUGAAGAAGGCCUCGGUU